rnacentral:rRNA from 5 species
UACCUGGUUGAUCCUGCCAGUAGUCAUAUGCUUGUCUCAAAGA